rnacentral:lncRNA from 1 species
AUACGGCAUGCACGUCCGUGUGUUCUGCUGUGGGAAACAAGUGCUGAGCUGCCUGGACAGAUUGCAUAUUAAAGAAUUUACCUACCCAAGCUGCAAGUGACAUAGCUAGUAACAAACCCAGAAAUUUAUUCAGAAAACACACUUCUGGAUGAACUAAGACAAAAGAAGUAGAGUUUUAACAUGGGUGCAGCUGCAAAAAGCAAGUGAAUAAUAUUUUCCUUACUUCUGAGAGAAAAGUACUUUUGCAUAACUAUUUCUGUGUAUGGAGAAAUGUGGAAGGAUACGAGCAGCAUCAGUAUUGCUUAUAAUCAUUAUCACUGUACUGCAUUCUGGAAACAAGGACGGUAGCUGUCACUUCACACUGCGAUCCUGAAGAUGAAUUCUAAAAUACGGCUAAUCAAAAAGAAAUAAAGUAAGUCCAAAGGAGGAAACA